rnacentral:rRNA from 1 species
UGAACGCUAGCUACAGGCUUAACACAUGCAAGUCGAGGGGCAGCAUGGUCUUAGCUUGCUAAGGCCGAUGGCGACCGGCGCACGGGUGAGUAACACGUAUCCAACCUGCCGUCUACUCUUGGACAGCCUUCUGAAAGGAAGAUUAAUACAAGAUGGCAUCAUGAGUCCACAUGUUCACAUGAUUAAAGGUAUUCCGGUAGACGAUGGGGAUGCGUUCCAUUAGAUAGUAGGCGGGGUAACGGCCCACCUAGUCUUCGAUGGAUAGGGGUUCUGAGAGGAAGGUCCCCCACAUUGGAACUGAGACACGGUCCAAACUCCUACGGGAGGCAGCAGUGAGGAAUAUUGGUCAAUGGGCGAGAGCCUGAACCAGCCAAGUAGCGUGAAGGAUGACUGCCCUAUGGGUUGUAAACUUCUUUUAUAAAGGAAUAAAGUCGGGUAUGCAUACCCGUUUGCAUGUACUUUAUGAAUAAGGAUCGGCUAACUCCGUGCCAGCAGCCGCGGUAAUACGGAGGAUCCGAGCGUUAUCCGGAUUUAUUGGGUUUAAAGGGAGCGUAGAUGGAUGUUUAAGUCAGUUGUGAAAGUUUGCGGCUCAACCGUAAAAUUGCAGUUGAUACUGGAUAUCUUGAGUGCAGUUGAGGCAGGCGGAAUUCGUGGUGUAGCGGUGAAAUGCUUAGAUAUCACGAAGAACUCCGAUUGCGAAGGCAGCCUGCUAAGCUGCAACUGACAUUGAGGCUCGAAAGUGUGGGUAUCAAACAGGAUUAGAUACCCUGGUAGUCCACACGGUAAACGAUGAAUACUCGCUGUUUGCGAUAUACUGCAAGCGGCCAAGCGAAAGCGUUAAGUAUUCCACCUGGGGAGUACGCCGGCAACGGUGAAACUCAAAGGAAUUGACGGGGGCCCGCACAAGCGGAGGAACAUGUGGUUUAAUUCGAUGAUACGCGAGGAACCUUACCCGGGCUUAAAUUGCAGAUGAAUUACGGUGAAAGCCGUAAGCCGCAAGGUAUCUGUGAAGGUGCUGCAUGGUUGUCGUCAGCUCGUGCCGUGAGGUGUCGGCUUAAGUGCCAUAACGAGCGCAACCCUUGUUGUCAGUUACUAACAGGUUCUGCUGAGGACUCUGACAAGACUGCCAUCGUAAGAUGUGAGGAAGGUGGGGAUGACGUCAAAUCAGCACGGCCCUUACGUCCGGGGCUACACACGUGUUACAAUGGGGGGUACAGAGGGCCGCUACCACGCGAGUGGAUGCCAAUCCCAAAAACCUCUCUCAGUUCGGACUGGAGUCUGCAACCCGACUCCACGAAGCUGGAUUCGCUAGUAAUCGCGCAUCAGCCACGGCGCGGUGAAUACGUUCCCGGGCCUUGUACACACCGCCCGUCAAGCCAUGGGAGCCGGGGGUACCUGAAGUGCGUAACCGCGAGGAGCGCCCUAGGGUAAAACUGGUGACUGGGGC